CCUACGGGGGGCAGCAGUGGGGAAUAUUGCACAAUGGGCGCAAGCCUGAUGCAGCGACGCCGCGUGGGGGAUGACGGCCUUCGGGUUGUAAACUCCUUUCGCUAGGGACGAAGCUUUUUGUGACGGUACCUAGAUAAGAAGCACCGGCUAACUACGUGCCAGCAGCCGCGGUAAUACGUAGGGUGCGAGCGUUGUCCGGAAUUACUGGGCGUAAAGGGCUCGUAGGUGGUUUGUCGCGUCGUCUGUGAAAUUCCGGGGCUUAACUCCGGGCGUGCAGGCGAUACGGGCAUAACUUGAGUACUGUAGGGGUAACUGGAAUUCCUGGUGUAGCGGUGAAAUGCGCAGAUAUCAGGAGGAACACCGAUGGCGAAGGCAGGUUACUGGGCAGUUACUGACGCUGAGGAGCGAAAGCAUGGGUAGCGAA
rnacentral:rRNA from 1 species